rnacentral:misc_RNA from 1 species
UCAAACUUGGUCAUUUAGAGGAAGUAAAAGUCGUAACAAGGUUUCCGUAGGUGAACCUGCGGAAGGAUCAUUAUGGGAAAACGCGCGCUCGCGCAUCCACAACCUGUGCACCUUGAGACGCUUCCGUUCGGGAGCGUACGAUUCGUACACGACUCGAGUGAACCUAAGAAACAUCAGAGCUCUCGUCCUCGACGAAGCUCGACCCAAUGAAGAAACAACUUUCAACAACGGAUCUCUUGGCUCUCGCAUCGAUGAAGAACGCAGC